rnacentral:lncRNA from 1 species
UGUUUUCUACUUCAUCAUAUUUUUUUUUCAGGUUUUAUUACUGCUAAAGAACUUUUCAUCAUAUCAUCUGUUUUUUUAUUUUGUGAGCAUAUGUUUUUUUUUUUUUUUUUUUUUUUUUUUUUUUUUUUUUUUUUUUUUUUUUUUUUUUUUUUUUAAAAAAUCAUUUUUGCAUAGUUUACCUUGUCCCUUUUGUUUCUUCUCUCGUUGCUCUUCUUCCCAUUCCACUUUUUCCCAUUCUACUUCUUCUCCAUCUUCCCUUACGUUACAACAAUUCACUUUUAAUAAAUUAACAGUUUUAAUAAAGUUUUUAUUUAUAUUAUCCAUACUAUUCAUCCUUGUUGAUAAAUUAAUAAGAGUAGAAAUAAAACAAUUAAAACUUAUUUUUUGUUUUUUCAUUGUGUAUGUUAUAUCUAUGUAAUGCUAUAAACUUAAAUACUUUAUUUAAAUAUCUUAUAAAAUUCUUUUCCCCCCCAGCAGGUUAACUUGUUUUUCGUAAUGCCAUAACCAUUUGCAUGACCAUUUAUAUUUACAUUUUUUUUUCAAAAGGGGUUGUCUUUGCUUUACGAUAUUAGGAUGAAUAUAAUUUUUGCCUUUUCUUUUCUUGACUUUAUAAAACCAUGAGUACGAUAAUAAUAUUGGCGUUUGAAAUAAGCUAUACAAAACAUAAUACAAAUAAUGUUUAUUAUUACAUUUUAUAUUACUUUGCAGAAAAAAAUAUAUUUUCUUAUAAAUAGUUUUCCUUACUUUUGUAUAACAACAUUCUUUAUUCCAAUAAUAUUUAUAAAAUUCGAUACAAUUCUUUAUGUUUAAUGAAUCAUUAUUAAAAAUAAUACGUUUUAUAAUAUUAAAAAAUAAAUUUUUUUUUUUUUUUUUUUUGCA